UAGUCCACGCCGUAAACGAUGAAUGUUAGCCGUCGGGUAGCAUGCUAUUCGGUGGCGCAGCUAACGCAUUAAGCACCCCGCCUGGGGAGUACGGUCGCAAGAUUAAAACUCAAAGGAAUUGACGGGGGCCCGCACAAGCGGUGGAGCAUGUGGUUUAAUUCGACGCAACGCGCAGAACCUUACCAACCCUUGACAUCCCGGUUUGGGGGAGCAGAGAUGCUUCCUUUCAGUUCGGCUGGACCGGUGACAGGUGCUGCAUGGCUGCCGUCAGCUCGUGUCGUGAGAUGUUGGGUUAAGUCCCGCAACCGAGCGCAACCCUCGCCUUUAGUUGCCAGCAUUCAGUUGGGCACUCUAGAGGGACUGGCCGGUGAUAAGCCGGAGGAAGGUGGGGAUGACGUCAAGUCCUCAUGGCCCUUACGGGGUUGGGCUACACACGUGCUACAAUGGGCGGUGACAGAGGGCAGCCAACCGCGAGGGGUGAGCUAA
rnacentral:rRNA from 1 species